rnacentral:rRNA from 1 species
CCGUUGCCGGCGACCGGCGGACGGGUGCGUAACGCGUAUGUAACCUACCUUUGACAGGGGGAUAACAUCGAGAAAUUGGUACUAAUACCCCAUAACAUCACCGGAGGCAUCUUCGGUGGUUGAAAACUCAGGUGGUCAGAGAUGGACAUGCGUUGUAUUAGCUAGUUGGUGAGGUAACGGCUCACCAAGGCGACGAUACAUAGGGGGACUGAGAGGUCAACCCCCCACAUUGGUACUGAGACACGGACCAAACUCCUACGGAAGGCAGCAG